rnacentral:rRNA from 1 species
GACGAACGCUGGCGGCGUGCUUAACACAUGCAAGUCGAACGAUGAAGCGGUGCUUGCACCGUGGAUUAGUGGCGAACGGGUGAGUAAUACGUGAGUGACCUACCUUUGACUCUGGGAUAAGCCUGGGAAACUGGGUCUAAUACCGGAUACGACCAAUCUCUGCAUGGGGUGUUGGUGGAAAGCGUUAUGGAGUGGUUUUAGAUGGGCUCACGGCCUAUCAGCUUGUUGGUGAGGUAAUGGCUUACCAAGGCGACGACGGGUAGCCGGCCUGAGAGGGUGACCGGCCACAAUGGGACUGAGACACGGCGCAGAAUCCUACGGGAGGCAGCAGGGGGGAAUAUUGCACAAUGGGCGCAAGCCUGAUGCAGCGACGCCGGGUGAGGGAUGCCGGCCUUCGGGUUGUAAACCUCUGUUAGCAUCGAAGAAGCGAAAGUGACGGUAGGUGCAGAGAAAGCGACGGCUAACUACGUG